rnacentral:rRNA from 1 species
CCUACGGGUGGCAGCAGUGGGGAAUAUUGGACAAUGGGCGAAAGCCUGAUCCAGCCAUGCCGCGUGUGUGAAGAAGGCCUUCGGGUUGUAAAGCACUUUCAGUGGGGAAGAAAGCCUUGGGGCUAAUACCCUCGAGGAAGGACAUCACCCACAGAAGAAGCACCGGCUAACUCCGUGCCAGCAGCCGCGGUAAUACGGAGGGUGCGAGCGUUAAUCGGAAUUACUGGGCGUAAAGCGCGCGUAGGCGGUCUGAUAAGCCGGUUGUGAAAGCCCCGGGCUCAACCUGGGAACGGCAUCCGGAACUGUCAGGCUAGAGUGCAGGAGAGGAAGGUAGAAUUCCCGGUGUAGCGGUGAAAUGCGUAGAGAUCGGGAGGAAUACCAGUGGCGAAGGCGGCCUUCUGAACUGACACUGACGCUGAGGUGCGAAAGCGUGGGUAGCAAACAGGAUUAGAUACCCUAGUAGUC